AUGGUAUGUUAAGUUCUAUUAAUGUGAGGUGCUAUGGUUGGAAGUACCAUGAGUGUCACAAGUUGGAUUAAUGAAGUAAGUUGUUAUAAAAGUAGCAGAUAUUUAUCUAAAUAUUGGUUAAUAUAGUAAACCAAGUUUCAAAUCCAAUAUUUUGAUUACAUGAUUAUUUGAGUAGAAAAUUUUGUGUUAUAUGUCGAACGUAUACGAUGAUACAAAACUCGCUAACACUUAGGCAAAAAGCCGAAAAACAG
rnacentral:lncRNA from 1 species